rnacentral:SRP_RNA from 1 species
CCGCGCUAGCCGGGGAGCCGGCGGUGCCCUGUAACCUGCAACCCGCCACAGCAGGGGUGAAUCCCCACCAUAGGGCGGCCGAUGUGCCGCGCGCCCGGUGUAUGCCGGCGAUGAGGAACCGGUCCCGCGCAACGCGGCCCCGCGAACCAUGUCAGGCGGGGAACCGAGCAGCAUUAAGCGGAACGCCGCGUGUGCCGCGGGCGAGCCGUUUCCGAGCGGGCUGCCGGGAAGGCGGGCAUAUCGGUCCGCUCGAAGGUGGGUGCGCGG